AUUGAACGCUGGCGGAAUGCUUUACACAUGCAAGUCGAACGGCAGCACGGACUUCGGUCUGGUGGCGAGUGGCGAACGGGUGAGUAAUGUAUCGGAACGUGCCCAGUCGUGGGGGAUAACGUAGUGAAAAUUACGCUAAUACCGCAUACGAACUAUGGAUGAAAGCGGGGGAUCGCAAGACCCCGCGCGAGUGGAGCGGCCGAUAUCAGAUUAGGUAGUUGGUGGGGUAAAGGCCCACCAAGCCAACGAUCUGUAGCUGGUCUGAGAGGACGACCAGCCACACUGGAACUGAGACACGGUCCAGACUCCUACGGGAGGCAGCAGUGGGGAAUUUUGGACAAUGGGCGAAAGCCUGAUCCAGCCAUUCCGCGUGCAGGAUGAAGGCCCUCGGGUUGUAAACUGCUUUUGUACAGAACGAAAAGGUUUCUACUAAUACUAGGAGCUCAUGACGGUACUGUAAGAAUAAGCACCGGCUAACUACGUGCCAGCCGCCGCCGUAA
rnacentral:rRNA from 1 species